rnacentral:rRNA from 1 species
AGAGUUUGAUCAUGGCUCAGGAUGAACGCUAGCGACAGGCUUAACACAUGCAAGUCGAGGGGCAGCGGGGGAGUAGCAAUACUCCCGCCGGCGACCGGCGCACGGGUGAGUAACACGUAUGAAACCUGCCCGUAGCAGGGGGAUAAGCGGAAGAAAUUCCGUCUAAUACCGCGUAACAACCCUUGGAGGCAUCUCCUCGGGUUUAAAGGAAGCGAUUCCGGCUACGGAUGGUCAUGCGUCGCAUUAGCUUGUUGGCGGGGUAACGGCCCACCAAGGCGACGAUGCGUAGGGGUUCUGAGAGGAAGGUCCCCCACACUGGUACUGAGACACGGACCAGACUCCUACGGGAGGCAGCAGUGAGGAAUAUUGGUCAAUGGCCGCAGGGCUGAACCAGCCAAGUCGCGUGAGGGAUGACGGUCCUGUGGAUUGUAAACCUCUUUUGUCAGGGAGCAAAGGGCGUCACGUGUGGCGCUUUGCGAGUACCUGAAGAAAAAGCAUCGGCUAACUCCGUGCCAGCAGCCGCGGUAAUACGGAGGAUGCGAGCGUUAUCCGGAUUUAUUGGGUUUAAAGGGUGCGC